GACGAACGCUGGCGGCGUGCUUAACACAUGCAAGUCGAACGGAAAGGCCCUGCUUUUGUGGGGUGCUCGAGUGGCGAACGGGUGAGUAACACGUGAGUAACCUGCCCUUGACUUUGGGAUAACUUCAGGAAACUGGGGCUAAUACCGGAUAGGAGCUCCUGCUGCAUGGUGGGGGUUGGAAAGUUUCGGCGGUUGGGGAUGGACUCGCGGCUUAUCAGCUUGUUGGUGGGGUAGUGGCUUACCAAGGCUUUGACGGGUAGCCGGCCUGAGAGGGUGACCGGCCACAUAGGGACUGGGAUACGGCCCAGACUCAUACGGGAGGCAGCAGUGGGGAAUAUAGCACAAUGGGCGGAAGCCUGAUGCAGCAACGCCGCGUGCGAGAUGACGGCCUUCGGGUUGUAAACCGCUUUCGCCUGUGACGAAGCGUGAGUGACGGUAAUGGGGAAAGAAACACCGGCUAACUACGU
rnacentral:rRNA from 1 species